ACGCUCGACACCUACUGGAGGCAGCAGUAGGGAAUCUUCCACAAUGGACGCAAGUCUGAUGGAGCAACGCCGCGUGAGUGAAGAAGGUUUUCGGAUCGUAAAGCUCUGUUGUUGGUGAAGAAGGAUAGAGGUAGUAACUGGCCUUUAUUUGACGGUAAUCAACCAGAAAGUCACGGCUAACUACGUGCCAGCAGCCGCGGUAAUCUGAGCGGGCUGGCAAGGC
rnacentral:rRNA from 1 species